UUUGCACCAAUUAUACAGCCCCAUUAUAAAGGAUCAUUCAAACAGUUUAUUGUAUGUUCCUCAUUUGUUUUGCUACUUACACAUAUAGCUACUGUAUAUAUAAGCUGUGCAUGCAGCAUAGUAAUGGAAGUGUGGUCAUUUAAAAAGGUGCUGUCCAUUGCACCUUGACUUGUAUAGAGUGGGGCAAAGGCACAUCUCAGUGCUCAGUGCACUCAGGUGUGACAGUUUCUCUGCACGUCCUGUCCGUUGUUACUACCCUGCACAGGACAGCUGCCCUCAUAAGAUGUUUUAUAAGGUUACCAAUAGGAAAAUGUUGCAGUACCUUCUCUUGAUAUUUUAGCAGACUUCAUCACAUGUUAACAUAGUCACGCUAAUAAGUCUGCUUUUUGUCAACAGACUAUUUACAACACAUACUUGUUCGCAUUUACAACUACUAAACUUUAUUGUCAUUGCAUACUACAGGUACACAGCAAGGAAAUGCAGUUUAGCAUCUACCAGAAGUGCAAAUAGUAGCAACUGUGCAAAUUGACAAGUGCAGAUAAAUAUGUACAGGAUGCAAAAUGGAGAAGAGCAUACACACAAACAGAGUGAAGCACAGGAGCCAAUUAGCCUGAAGGGGAAAAAGGAAGUGAAAAAGAAACAGGUGGUCUUUGAGAAAAAAGUGAAAAGAUAUUAAAAUAUCAGACCAGUAGGUGGUUGUGGUGAAAGUGAUUAAUCCUCUUGUAUACUGUUACUGAACAGAGUGCAGUAAAUAAGACUCUGGAUUGUUCUCCACAAAAUAGAUCUAGAGUUUUCCAACAUACAUCACAUAGACACUCAAGAUAAAACCCUCCUGCAUGACUGUUUUUGUUGUAGUUAAGAACUUUUAACACUGAAAUGUGAUAAAGGGAUGGUGGAAGAACAAUCCAAGUAUAAAAAGUACAAAAUGAGAAAGGAUAAAACUAUUUAUUUGUGCUAUUGCUUUUUCUUGUUAUGUUUGAUUACUGGAUAUUGUAUUGUCUGUUUCUAAAACGUUUUGCAGUGUGAAACAAAGGUCAUUUGGAGGAAAACAAAUAAUACACAAUUAUUGAGUUCAGCAGCUGAUUGGCUGUUAGAUCUUAAGAUGAUCUCUGGCCUCAUUAACAUACAAACCAACAUGGGGUGAGAGCCAGUGUGAUUCAGUCUAGCACUUUGCUUGAUUACUGUAAAGUGGUGAAACUGAUGAUGGCGAGAAAAAAAUAAAAUAACAAACAUGGCAAGAAG